rnacentral:rRNA from 1 species
AAAUUGAAGAGUUUGAUCAUGGCUCAGAUUGAACGCUGGCGGCAGGCCUAACACAUGCAAGUCGAACGGUAACAGGAAGAAGCUUGCUUCUUUGCUGACGAGUGGCGGACGGGUGAGUAAUGUCUGGGAAACUGCCUGAUGGAGGGGGAUAACUACUGGAAACGGUAGCUAAUACCGCAUAACGUCGCAAGACCAAAGAGGGGGACCUUCGGGCCUCUUGCCAUCGGAUGUGCCCAGAUGGGAUUAGCUAGUAGGUGGGGUAACGGCUCACCUAGGCGACGAUCCCUAGCUGGUCUGAGAGGAUGACCAGCCACACUGGAACUGAGACACGGUCCAGA